GGUGGGGUGACCGAAUGGCCAGGUCGCGGCUCGCAAAGCCGCGCAUGCAGGUUCGAUUCCUGCCCCCACCU
rnacentral:tRNA from 1 species